rnacentral:rRNA from 1 species
AGUGAACGCUGGCGGUAGGCCUAACACAUGCAAGUCGAACGGCAGCACAGUAAGAGCUUGCUCUUACGGGUGGCGAGUGGCGGACGGGUGGGGAAUACAUCGGAAUCUACUUUUUCGUGGGGGAUAACGUAGGGAAACUUACGCUAAUACCGCAUACGACCUACGGGUGAAAGCAGGGGAUCUUCGGACCUUGCGCGAUUGAAUGAGCCGAUGUCGGAUUAGCUAGUUGGCGGGGUAAAGGCCCACCAAGGCGACGAUCCGUAGCUGGUCUGAGAGGAUGAUCAGCCACACUGGAACUGAGACACGGUCCAGACUCCUACGGGAGGCAGCAGUGGGGAAUAUUGGACAAUGGGCGCAAGCCUGAUCCAGCCAGACCGCGUGGGUGAAGAAGGCCUUCGGGUUGUAAAGACCUUUUGUUGGGAAAGAAAAGCAGCAGGUUAAUACCCCGCUGUUCUGACGGUACCCAAAGAAUAAGCACCGGCUAACUUCGUG